GACGAACGCUGGCGGCGUGCCUAAUACAUGCAAGUAGAACGCAGUUGCGAACGGGUGAGUAACGCGUAGGUAACUGCCUCAUAGCGGGGGAUAACUAUUGGAAACGCUAGCUAAUACCGCAUACUGUGAGAUGGACCUGCGGUGUAUUAGCUAGUUGGUGAGGUAAAGGCCCACCAAGGCGACGAUACAUAGCCGGCCUGGGAGGGGUGUCGGCCAACAUGGGACUGGGAAACGGGCCAGAACCCUAAGGGAGGGAGCAGUAGGGGAUCUUCGGCAAAGGACGGAAGUCUGACCGAGCAACGCCGGGGUAGUGGAGAAGGGUUUUGGAUCGUAAAGCUCUGUUGUUAGAGGAGCGGUAACUAACCAGAAAGCGACGGCUAACUCCGUGCCAGCAGCCGCGGUAAUAC
rnacentral:rRNA from 1 species